CGAACGUUGGCGGCGUGCUUAACACAUGCAAGUCGAACGAGAAAGUUCCUUCGGGGACGAGUAAAGUGGCGCACGGGUGAGUAACGCGUAAGUAAUCUACCCUUGCAUCUGGAAUAACUACGGGAAGCUGUAGCUAAUACCGGAUACGUUCUCCAUUCUACGGGAUGGAGAAGAAAGAUGACCUCUUCUUGAAAGUUAUCGUGCAGGGAGGAGCUUGCGUACCAUUAGCUAGUUGGUAGGGUAAUGGCCUACCAAGGCAACGAUGGUUAGCGGGUCUGAGAGGAUGAUCCGCCACACUGGAACUGGAACACGGACCAGACUCCUACGGGAGGCAGCAGUGAGGAAUAUUGCGCAAUGGGGGAAACCCUGACGCAGCGACGCCGCGUGGAUGAUGAAGGCCUUAGGGUCGUAAAAUCCUGUCAGGUGGGAAGAAAUGUAUAGGGGAAUAAUACCUCUUAUGCUUGACGGUACCACCAGAGGAAGCACCGGCUAACUCC
rnacentral:rRNA from 1 species